UACGUAGGGGGCGAGCGUUGUCCGGAAUCAUUGGGCGUAAAGCGCGUGUAGGCGGCCCGAUAAGUCCGCUGUGAAAGUCCAGGGCUCAACCCUGGGAUGCCGGUGGAUACUGUCGGGCUCGAGUCCGGAAGAGGCGAGUGGAAUUCCUGGUGUAGCGGUGAAAUGCGCAGAUAUCAGGAGGAACACCAAUGGCGAAGGCAGCUCGCUGGGACGUGACUGACGCUGAGACGCGAAAGCCAGGGGAGCGAACGGG
rnacentral:rRNA from 1 species